GCCGGAGUGGCGGAACUGGCAGACGCGCUGGACUCAAAAUCCAGUUCUCGCAAGAGAGUGUGGGUUCGACUCCCUCCUCCGGCA
rnacentral:tRNA from 1 species